UAGUUGGUGGGGUGAUGGCCUACCAAGCCGAGGACGCCUACCGGGCGUGCGAGCGUGGCCCGGCACACUGGGACUGAGACACUGCCCAGACUCCUACGGGAGGCUGCAGUCGAGAGUCUUCGGCAAUGGGCGAAAGCCUGACGGAGCAAUGCCGCGUGAGUGAUGAAGGUUUUCGGAUCGUAAAGCUCUGUUGCCAGGGAAGAACGCUUGGGAGAGUAACUGCUCUCAAGGUGACGGUACCUGAGAAGAAAGCCCCGGCUAACUACGUGCCAGCAGCCGCGGUAAUACGUAGGGGGCAAGCGUUGUCCGGAAUUAUUGGGCGUAAAGCGCGCGCAGGCGGUCAUUUAAGUCUGGUGUUUAAUCCCGGGGCUCAACCCCGGAUCGCACUGGAAACUGGGUGACUUGAGUGCAGAAGAGGAGAGUGGAAUUCCACGUGUAGCGGUGAAAUGCGUAGAUAUAUGGAGGAACACCAGUGGCGAAGGCGACUCUCUGGGCUGUAACUGACGCUGAGGCGCGAAAGCGUGGGGAGCAAACAGGAUUAGAUACCCUGGUAGUCCACGCCGUAAACGAUGAGUGCUAGACGUUGGGGGGCUUGCCCUUCGGUGUCGCAGCUAACGCAUUAAGCACUCCGCCUGGGGAGUACGGCCGCAAGGUU
rnacentral:rRNA from 1 species